ensembl:lncRNA
GGGGGUGGUGCCUUCCUUCCCGCUCGGCCCUUCCUGACGCACCCGCGGGCAGGAUGCGUCCGCCUCCCAAGACCGGCCUGGAAUCGCGGAGGGAAUCCCAGCGGUGGGAAAGCCGGCUGGGGUCGGAGCACCCCUCCCCAGUAUCCACUCCUUGUGAGACCCGGGUGUCCUCUGCACAGAGGACCACCUCUCCAGCCAGUAUGGGAGCUCCCAACCGGAUCCUCGAGUCUAGCCCAGGCAGCGGGCUAGGCUGCCACCUGGUGGCCUCUGGGGGAAUGGCUCCGGGCCUGGAAACUGGGCUGUGGAGCAGAGACCUCCCAGACGACUCUGAGUUCGUCCCCCAAGCCAGGCCCAGUCAGUCUCGGAGACCCUUCUUGUCAGGAAAUCAAGCAGGACUUCUGCAACCUGCCCAUAGUCCUGCUCUGAACAGAUGGGGGAGUCUGGACUUCCUCCCCCCGAGUCCCCUGGCCUUCAUUUCACCCAGCCUCUCCCACUGCAGGGUUCAGAGCCUGGGCUUGGUUUCCACAUGUCACAAUCUGGGAUCCUUGCUCUAGCACAUGCUUGCCACGUGGCACCUGACUUCCAAUUCCCUUACCUGCUCGUGAAGGACCCCUCGGAAGAACUGAAUGGAGACUGGUGUAUGGGAAGGGCCCUGCUUUCCAGUACUCAGCAAGCCCAUCUGCUGGCGGUCUCCUCCUUGUCGCCCCUCCUCAGGUCUCAAUAAAAACUCUCAGCCCUCAUCCACCCCGCUUCACUCUGCGGCGGCUCAGUACCAUCUUGUGAGAGGAGGAAGCAGAGGCUGGAUGCUUGGGGAGCAGGGAGGGCCCGACAGCUUCUCCCUCAUCCGGUAGGGGGGCACCGGGCUGAAACACUCAACACCCACCCGACACUGUUCCACUGGCCCCACUCCUGAGGCUCAUAAGCUGCAGCCUCUCUUUCCCAGGCUCCCUGCAGUAGGGGCCAUGUGACCCUGAUCUGGCCCAUGAGAUUCGAGCAAAAAUCGACAAGUGUUCCGGGAGAGGUUCGCCUUCCUGAUGAAGGCCACAGCGUGGCUGGUAUCCGUGCUCCUCUCCCUUGCCACUCAUGUGCCUGUGCUCCCUGGAGAAGCAGCAGAAUCCUGCCAUGGGGGAAAGGCCAAGGUCACAGACGUGCGCACUCUGACAUCGUUGGGAGCACCUACCUCUGGGUUGCUUGUGUAUGCGGACAGACAAGCCCCAGGUAUGUAAGUCCCUACUACCUGCAGUGAGAACAUUUCCGAGGCACCGAGCACAGUCCCUACUCACCUGAGCGUGCUUGAAGAUGGCAUGAUGGACGAUGGUAAGGCCCAGGCCGAAGAUGUAAGCCGCGAAGCUGGUGUAGAAGUACGUGUGGGUGUUCUUCUUUAAGCUUCAAGAAGGUGUGGGGAGAAAGAGGAGGAGGGUUAGUUAAGCAUGGAAGGAGCAGCGCCACCUUUCUGCGGGGAGAGGCCUCCAUGGAGGCUGGCUGGACGGCAUGAGAGUUUGGCACUGCUGUGUAUUCAGUGCUGCCCCAGCCGGUAUGUCUUUGGACAAGUCACUUUCCUUCUUUAGGCCUCAGUUUACUCAUCUGCAAAACGGGAAAAACCACGACCCAUCUGCUCAGUGGUUGCGAAUAUCAAGCGCCAUGACCUGCAACAGUGGCUUUAAGACUUCAGCCAACAUACAAGUUCCCUAGAAAGCUUGUAAAAAAUCCCUCAAAACCAAAAAACAGCAGACUUUCAGGUCCAAAUCCCAGGGGCAAUCUGAUUAAAUAGGUCUAGGGCAAGGGACCAGGAAUCUGCAUUUUUAUUUAUUAAAAAAUUUUUUUUUUUAAUGUUUUAUUAUUUUGAGACAGAGACAGACCAUGAACCAGCA